AUACUUACUUGGCCAUGACCGAGAAGGUGGUUUUUCCAGGGUGAGCCCUAUCCAUUGCACUGACUCCUGUGGGUUUCCCCACAUGUGGGAAACUUGACUUCACAAUUUUUGGCAAUGGGGACUGUGUUCAUGCUUCCCCCGU
rnacentral:snRNA from 14 species